rnacentral:lncRNA from 10 species
AAGAGACCCGGGACCUCAGGGAACCCGCGCCUGCACCCUCGGGGUCGGUCCCGUCCCGCCCGGGUUGGGUGGGGCUGCCGCGAGUCGGAAGAGGUGGGAUGCUGCUGCCUGGCGGUGCUGCAGUGGCGGAUCUUCAGGAGGAGGAUUUGUCCCCAGUGCCUUAUUUAGUUCACUUGGUGAGGUCAUGUUUUCCUGGAUGGUGUUGAUGCUAGUAGAUGUUCUUCAGUGUCUGGACAUUAAAAUCUUGGGCAUGCAGCACCAUAUGAGAAGUUUAAAAAAUAAAAUUUAAAGAGAGAAAAGUGGUGGGAUUGCUGAAUCAGACAGAGCCAAUAGAUGAUCAGUAAUGGUGGCCAAUCAUCAGCUAGAAAGAAAGUGCUUAGCAGGGCUUGAAAACACCAAAACUCUGAGACCACUGACCUUCAAAAACUUCAACAGCCCUGAGUGAAAAGUCCAAACACAUUUAUCUACCAUUCGAAGACGCUUUAUUGUCUGUCCUCUGCACAUCUCAGUAGUCUCUUUUUACCACACUGUCUAUAUACUGCAUGAGCCAUUUAUAUGAAACUAUCUGACACUCCAAGGCAUCUUGUACUAUAUAUUCAACUAUGUAUCCCUAGUACCUAGCACAGUCCUGGCAUAUAGUUUGCUACUAAACUUUUACAGAAUGAAGGAAUUAUCUUGUAUCCAGGUUCCAAGUUUUAAGGUGAUUCUUCAGUAAAAAAAAGUAUUACAGUUCACAAAUAAUCUACUUCCCUUUUUACAAAUGGGAUCAAUUUUAAUCUUAUCUCCUAAUAACAUUACUUUCAUUUACUCUGAUCUAAAUAUACUGUCCUAAGAGAGCAAUAAGAAAGAGAGUUGAAGCUGGAGUUUGAAGAAUUGUACAUGGUCCUGUGAUACCCUACCUUGUUUUAACCUGAGUGACUCUCUCCUAGCGGAGAGAGAGCCGGACAGACUCCAUUUUAGUUUCUUCACGUGCAGCCCCCUUUACCUUCCACCCUUAAUUGCAUAACUAGUGUAAACUGACUCAAAGCAGGUCCAGGAAUGCACUUAGUGAUAAGAUAUUGAGGCAAGCUGCACCAGCUGCUCCUGGGUACGCACUCGGUGAAUGUCACGCAAAACCCCUGCAUUUCUCUCUUUGUGAUAGUUUAAGCCCCUGCACCUGGAACUGUUUAUUUGUUUUGUAACUGCUAUUGUAACCAAUUAAUAUUUUAACUAUUUGCCAGCUCUGCUUCUGUAAAACUUGUUUCAGCUAAACUCCCCCCUCCCCUAUUUAGACCACGGUAUAAAAACAAAACCAGCCCCUUCCUCGGGGCCAAGAGAAUUUUGAGCAUUACAUGCCUCUCGGUUACCGGCUAAUAAAGGACUCCUUAAUUUGUCUCAAAGUGUGGCAUUCCUCUAUAACUCGCUUGGUUACAACAGUCCACACUGUGGCCUGAGGUGCAUUGCCCACCUGAGCUUCAUCUGUUAUGUAUGUCAGGGAAUAUAAGCAGGGUGAGAGUGGCCUCAUCAGAGGACCCCAGAUCUCUGGCUUACCCAUCUGGCAAGUGCACCUCUGUGAGCAAAGACUUCAGAGCCAGGUGACAAGAAUGGCCCAAGCAGUCCACCAGGAAAACCUGGGCCCAGUGUACGUCAAUGCAGAGCAUCAAGCAUGGUGUAACAGGUGCACAGUUGCCUACUCCUGUUCAGAGAUGACUGCAUCCCACAUACCGUAAAAUGAGGAAAUGCAUAGAAGCAGAUGUAACUGAAGAAGACAGCAGAAGCAACAAGGAGGGACAACCAGGACCUAGGAGGGCACCAUGCCAGAGACGCCUGGACCCCAUGCUAGGCUCAGUGCCUGUUAUACUCUUGGGAGCCAGCACUUUCCCUCUCCAUCACAUGGCAUACUUGCCAUUAUUUGUUGUGUAAAAUAUUGUCCUUAGUUUUCACCUUUCCUAGGAGACACAGGCAGAGCCUGUGACACUACAGCUUCUGGCACACAGUAGGUAGGUGCAUCACAAACAUCUGCUGAGUUCACACACUCUUGCCUUCUCAAAACUUCUUGUCAAGUCUUCAGUGAAAAGGAAUUGCUGAUUGAGCAAGAAUUAAACUUCUAGAGACUCCUGGAUCCACUGAAGUUUGAGACAAGGUGAGAUUUGUUUACUGUCAUAUUCCUAGCUCAUAACAUAUUGUAGUCACUUAAAAAAGUUUGUUGAAUAAGUGAGUAAAUUGAUUCAUACGUCAUACUUAGCUAUAUAUUUUCUGAGUAGAAUUGAUAAAGUUAAUAGUUUAAGUCUAGUAUAAUUUUGCUUUACUCAUUCAAUGAACCUGACAAUUCAAAUAGGUGCCAGGCACACUGCUGCUGAAGAAAAAGAGGUAUAAGAUAUAAUUUCUGUCUACAAGAAAGCCACAGUCUAAAAAGUAGAAACAUAUGAACAAAUCGUAACAAUAAAUAGGCUAAAUUCAAAAUCAGAGGAGUUUGUUUCUAUUUUAAACAGCUCUAGUCAGGAAGUGUUAGAGAGUUCUAAACAGGAAAUAUUCCAACACAUCAUCUAAGCAUGAAGCAGGAGACACCCAUAAUUGAGUUUGCUGCCACCAACCCCAACAGCAAGAAUUCCAGUCCUGCUGCUGCAAAGUAAGUGUCACUCUGAUUUUAUUGCUGCUGUGUAACCCAGUUUUAGACUCUCUGGUUCUCACUUAAUGUUCUAAAAAAGUAUUAAAGAGAAAAUUUUAUUCUGGUGAUGAGCCCAUCCACUGCAGCCAUCUCAACAUCAUACCAAUUAUAAGCCUAUCAUUUAAAAAGAAAGCUGUUAGUUUAACUUAUUUAUCCAAAUAUCAGUAUUACAUAAACAUAUUUGUCAUCAGACUUUGGACUUAUGGGUUAAAUAGCAUAUAAAUAUGAUUAGAGCCUUAAAGUUUACACUUCUCUGGUUCGCUCAAAUUUUUUUCAAAAUAGCAUAUGCCUUUCUAAACAAUGGUUAGUAUAUUUUUCAAAAUGAACAUUAAAAUGUAUAUUUUCCAAAAACAAAAUACAGCUCCCAUUGGUAAAUGAUGCUAUUGAGACACAACAGACAACUUCUCUUGGGAACCAUUUAAUCAGUGCUCACUUUUGCACUCUUUCCAGAAAUGUCAAUGGUUUUGAAAUAUAGAAGUAUAUUAUACAAAUAAACUUAUACUUAUUCAGUAUUGUGCAAUAUUUAGUAUUUCUUCUAGCCAUCUCUUGCUGAAUAGUAAGCCAUUCCAAAACUUACGGAAUUAUUUAUUGUUUAAUAUUGUUUAUUGUUAUUAUUUGUUUAGUAAUUUUAAUAACGUUAUUUCUCAUGGUUUUGUGGGUUGAUGGGCACUACAAAAGUUCUCUUUUGGAGUCUUUCUUGCAGUUGCGGUUGGUUGGCUGCUGCUGAAGUCACCUGAAAGCUCAAUUAGGCUAAAGAGUCUAAACGGGUCACUUACAUGGCUGGCAGUGCAUAUUGGCUGCUGAGUGUGAUGCCUAUCUGACCUCUCCAUGUUACCUGGAGUGCUCACAACGUGGUAGUUUGUCCCAAGACACACAGGCAAAUACUACAAAGCUUCUUAGGGCCUAGCCUUGGAGGUCCUAGAAUACGACUUCUGCUGCAUCCUAUUGGAAAAGCAAGUCAUUGUGACCAGCACAGAUUCAAGAAAUGGGAGAUUCGACUCUACCUGUCAAUGUAAACAGCAGCAUGUGCAUGCAGGGAGGAAAGAAAUUGAGGGCAUCAUCUUGAAGACUAUCAUAUCACACCAUUAUUCCAACUAGUGAACAUUAUGUUUUAGAUGGGUAGUACUAGCUACUCAUCUGUCCCCCAGAAACCCAAGCUAAGCAUGGACAUAUUGAAGAGAAUGUCAACACCAUUAAAAAAACUCUAGAAAAAUCACAUGUGAUGACUGAGGUUAAUUCAGUCUGUCAACUACAUCAAUAUAAUUGCCUUCUUGUAACCCUAAGUAUGGUGAAGCAGAAUUGAAUUCUACAAAAGUCUUUCAUCUGUUUUCCUAUGGAAUAAUUAACAAACCCAAUAAAUGUAUAAAUAGC